rnacentral:rRNA from 1 species
GACGAACGCUGGCGGCGUGCCUAACACAUGCAAGUCGAACGAAGAAUGUUUUUCGGAAUAUUCUUAGUGGCGGACGGGUGAGUAACGCGUGAACAAUCUGCCCCGUACAAAGGGAUAGCCUCGGGAAACCGGGAUUAAAACCAUAUAACGCUUUAGUACCGCAUGGUAAUAAAGUCAAAUCGAUUAAGAGGUAUGGGAUGAGUUCGCGUCUGAUUAGCUAGUUGGUGAGGUAAGGGCUCACCAAAGGCGACGAUCAGUAGCCGGCCUGAGAGGGUGAACGGCCACACUGGAACUGAGACACGGUCCAGACUCCUACGGGAGGCAGCAGUGGGGAAUAUUGCACAAUGGAGGGAACUCUGAUGCAGCGACGCCGCGUGAGUGAAGAAGGUCUUCGGAUCGUAAAACUCUGUCCUUGGUGAAGAAAAGGACGGUAGCCAAGGAGGAAGCCCCGGCUAACUACGUGCCAGCAGCCGCGGUAAACUAGCGUG